rnacentral:lncRNA from 1 species
GCGUGAAGCGAGGGUACACACCCAAGAGUUACCAUGCAUGAUCCGUGAAUGAUGGGUAUCAGGCCUGGACCAGGUUUGAUUCUAUAACGGUCCAGCAUCGACGGCCAUCACUGCUGAAUCGAGGCUGUUGCUCUGGCCUGGACCAGUAUCUAUUUCAGUCCCGAUGUAGUCAUAGCUGAUACAGUAAUGUCUGUUCGUCAGUACUGGUCCAGGCUGUAUAUCAGUACUGGAUCAGAUCGAUGCUUUUCAAGAUGGCAGCCCCGCGUGGACUAUCUGACAUGUUUUGUUAAAGAAAAUCAUCUUAAUCUGACUCUUUAAGAGAAAUCUCGUUGGCUGUAUACACUAGGGCUAAAUCACUGGAUGUUAUGCUAUUUUGAACCAUUUAUUACUUAAACAUGAGUAGGAUACACGAUAUUUUGAGUAAAAAAUACAUGACUG